rnacentral:rRNA from 1 species
AUUGAACGCUGGCGGCAUGCCUUACACAUGCAAGUCGAACGGCAGCACGGGAGCAAUCCUGGUGGCGAGUGGCGAACGGGUGAGUAAUGUAUCGGAACGUACCUUUCAGUGGGGGAUAAC